rnacentral:rRNA from 1 species
UACGGGGGGGGUAAGCGUUGUUCGGAAUUACUGGGCGUAAAGGGCUCGUAGGCGGCCAACUAAGUCAAACGUGAAAUCCCUCAGCUUAACUGGGGAACUGCGUCUGAUACUGGAUGGCUUGGAUUCGGGAGAGGAAUGCGGAAUUCCAGGUGUAGCGGUGAAAUGCGUAGAUAUGUGGAGGAACACCGAUGGCGAAGGCAGCCCCCUGGGAUGUGACUGACGCUCAUGUACGAAAGCGUGGGGAGCAAACAGG